rnacentral:rRNA from 1 species
GACGAACGCUGGCGGCGUGCUUAACACAUGCCAGUCGAACGGUGAAGCGCCUUCCUUUUUGGUGGGUGUGGAUGAGUGGCGAACGGGUGAGUAACACGUGAGUAACCUGCCCCCUUCUUCUGGAUAACCGCAUGAAAGUGUGGCUAAUACGGGAUAUUCUGGGUCUGUCGCAUGAUGGGUCUGGGAAAGAUAUUGUUUCGGUGGGGGAUGGGCUCGCGGCCUAUCAGCUUGUUGGUGGGGUGAUGGCCUACCAAGGCGGUGACGGGUAGCCGGCCUGAGAGGGUGGACGGUCACACUGGGACUGAGACACGGCCCAGACUGCUACGGGAGGCAGCAGUGGGGAAUAGUGCACAAUGGGCGCAAGCCUGAUGCAGCGACGCCGCGUGAGGGAUGGAGGCCUUCGGGUUGUGAACCUCUUUCGCCAGUGAAGCAGGCCUGCCUCGUUUGUGGGUGGGUUGACGGUAGCUGGAUAAGAAGCGCCGGCUAACUACGUG